ACGGAGGGUGCGAGCGUUGUCCGGAAUCAUUGGGCGUAAAGGGCGCGUAGGCGGCCACUUCAAGCGUGCGGUGAAAGUCGGGGGCUCAACCCCUGAUCGGCCGUGCGAACUGGGGGGCUGGAGCACUGUAGAGGCAGGCGGAAUUCCGGGUGUAGCGGUGGAAUGCGUAGAGAUCAGCAGGAAUACCCGUGGCGAAGGCGGCCCCCUGGGCCGUACCUGACGCUGAGGCGCGAAGGCUAGGGGAGCGACCCGGA
rnacentral:rRNA from 1 species